UGGGGCCUGUCCUUUUCAAUAUCUUUAUAGAUGACCUGGAUGAGGGCAUUGAGUGCACCCUUAGUAGGUUUGCAGAUGACAUCAAGUUGGUCAGAAGUGUCGAUCUUCCUAGGGGUAGCAAGGCCCUACAGAAGGAUUUGGACAGGCUGGAUCACUGGGCUGAAGCCUAUGGGAUGAGGUUCAGCACGAUCAAGUGCUGGGUCCUGCACUUUGGCCACAACAACCAGUGUAGUAUUGCUAGCAAGAGCAGGGAAGUAAUUGUACCUUUGUACUCAACACUGGUGAGGCCACACCUUGAGUACUGUGUUCAGUUUUUGACCCCUCACUGCAAGAAAGGCAUCGAGGCCCUGGAGUGUGUGCAGAGAAGGGCAACUAAGCCGCAACAAGGCCAUCACAGCAUCUAUGAAAGAGUGGAUCACCUCAAACAGUGCAGAUUUUUCAGAAGCAUGGCAUGCAGUCUGGUGCUCAUAACUGGUGAAAAUACAUAGCUAAUGAUGCAACGGUAUAGGAAACUAUAAAUCACGGGGUACAAACUCAGGAUCUGCAACACUUCUCAUAACUGCAAAGAGCACCAUGAGGAAACACUAGGUGAGACAGCA
ensembl:lncRNA